rnacentral:rRNA from 1 species
UACGAAGGGGGCUAGCGUUGUUCGGAUUUACUGGGCGUAAAGCGCACGUAGGCGGAUUGGUCAGUUAGGGGUGAAAUCCCAGAGCUCAACUCUGGAACUGCCUUUAAUACUGCCAAUCUAGAGUCCGGAAGAGGUAAGUGGAACUCCUAGUGUAGAGGUGGAAUUCGUAGAUAUUAGGAAGAACACCAGUGGCGAAGGCGGCUUACUGGUCCGGUACUGACGCUGAGGUGCGAAAAGCGUGGGGGAGCAAAACAGG